rnacentral:rRNA from 1 species
CGGAUUGCAGGCUGCAACCCGCCUGUAUGAAGUUGGAAUCGCUAGUAAUCGCGGAUCAGCAUGCCGCGGUGAAUACGUUCCCGGGCCUUGUACACACCGCCCGUCACACCAUGAGAGUCGGGAACACCCGAAGUCCGUAGUCUGACCGCAAGGGGGGCGCGGCCGAAGGUGGGUUCGAUAAUUGGGGUGAAGUCGUAACAAGGUAGC